rnacentral:rRNA from 1 species
UACGGAGGGUGCAAACGUUGCUCGGAAUUAUUGGGCGUAAAGCGCACGUAGGCGGCUUCGCAAGUCGGGUGUGAAAUCCCUCGGCUUAACCGAGGAAGUGCAUUCGAUACUACGAGGCUUGAAUACUCAAGAGGGUCUCGGAAUUCCCGGUGUAGAGGUGAAAUUCGUAGAUAUCGGGAGGAACACCAGUGGCGAAGGCGGAGACCUGGGGAGAUAUUGACGCUGAGGUGCGAAAGCGUGGGGGAGCAAACAGG